rnacentral:rRNA from 1 species
AUGCCGCAAGCCGCCACCCAAGAGGGAGAGGCGUCGGGGUCCGGACCAACCCUCGCGCUCCGCCGCGGCCGGAGCUCCACCGUCUCAGCAACGCCCACGACGACCACCCGGUCGAUGGCCCUGGUGCGUGCGCGGCGGAAGCCCCCGGGCUCCCAAUCGCCACAGGAACCACCCGUGCGGUCCCCGACAAGGAAGAGAAAGAGGGGGGCGGCUGCCAACCAGAAAUCGAAGGAACGGACAAGGACCAGGGAUGAGGAGGAGGAGGAGGAUGGGGUCUCAUCUGCAGGCAGCUCCCCAAUUCGCGCGCCGCAGAUUCCGGAUGCGUUAUACGAAGAUCUGGAUAUGCUCAAGGCCAUUCAAGAUGUACACGAUGCAUACGAUGAAAAAUUAGGCCGCCAAAUGGAACUGCCGACUCUUUAUCUGCACACGUGUAAACCGCCCACAUGCUUGAGUACUAAUCCUAAGCUUCUUCGUGUCCGUGAAUCCACAACAAAGACAGUGCUUGCUGCUGCUCCAUCAGUUAUUGGACUUUCAUCCUCUGUUGGUCGUCAUUUGCUAACACGAUGCUCUGGAUUUUGGGUUGAUUGGGAUGAGGAAAACAAAAAAGGUACUGUUUUGACUACUGCACAUGUGAUUCGCACGAAGUCCCCAUCCUCAAAUGACUGGCUAGGUAAAGAUGAGUAUGCUCCCAAGGCCAAGGUUUUUGUUCACUUGCGGGAUGCCACUACUCAGAAGGCCACCAUGCUGUACUACGAGAAGCACUAG